CUUUUGGAGAGUUUGAUCCUGGCUCAGGACGAACGCUGGCGGCGUGCCUAAUACAUGCAAGUCGAGCGGACCGGAUCGGAGCUUGCUCUGAUUUGGUCAGCGGCGGACGGGUGAGUAACACGUGGGCAACCUGCCCGCAAGACCGGGAUAACUCCGGGAAACCGGAGCUAAUACCGGAUAACACCGAAGACCGCAUGGUCUUUGGUUGAAAGGCGGCCUUUUGGCUGUCACUUGCGGAUGGGCCCGCGGCGCAUUAGCUAGUUGGUGAGGUAACGGCUCACCAAGGCGACGAUGCGUAGCCGGCCUGAGAGGGUGAC
rnacentral:rRNA from 1 species